CUCAGAGCAGCAAUAAAGCAAAACACAUCUGAAGCUGCUGAAAUACAAUAACCCGACCUAUGGAAACAUGGCUUAAAUCUCAGGUGAUUGACAAGGGCACUUACCUGGAUGAGCCAAUCAGAGAUUCCCCAGGAGCAGGACUUUUCUCUACCACUGCCCGCUUGUCUGUCUCAGAGAAGGCCUGGUUCAGGGGCGGGACUUACUUCUGUGCUGUCACUCACAGGAAUCUAACCCAGCCAUUGGUCCAAGCCAUUUCAGCUCCAGGUGGCAGAUCCAUUCGCCCAAGUCUUCAAGCAGCCA